rnacentral:rRNA from 1 species
UACGUAGGGGGCUAGCGUUGUCCGGAAUCAUUGGGCGUAAAGCGCGUGUAGGCGGUCCGGUAAGUCCGCUGUGAAAGUCGGGGGGCUCAACCCUCGGAUGCCGGUGGAUACUGUCGGGCUUGAGUACGGAAGAGGCGAGUGGAAUUCCUGGUGUAGCGGUGAAAUGCGCAGAUAUCAGGAGGAACACCAAUGCGAAGGCAGCUCGCUGGGACAUUACUGACGCUGAGACGCGAAAGCGUGGGGAGCAAACAGG